UACGUAGGGAGCAAGCGUUGUCCGGAAUCAUUGGGCGUAAAGCGCGCGUAGGUGGCCUCAUAAGUCCGCUGUGAAAGUCAAAGGCUCAACCUUUGAAAGCCGGUGGAUACUGUGAGGCUAGAGUACGGAAGAGGCGAGUGGAAUUCCUGGUGUAGCGGUGGAAUGCGCAGAUAUCAGGAGGAACACCGGUGGCGAAGGCGGGUCUCUGGGCCGAAAUUGACGCUGAGGAGCGAAAGCGUGGGGAGCAAACAGG
rnacentral:rRNA from 1 species